rnacentral:Y_RNA from 1 species
GGCUGGUCCAAAGGGAGUGAGUUUUCUCAACUGAUUGUUCACAAUCAGUUAUAGAUCAAACUCCUUGUUUCCAACUCCUUGUUCUACUCUUUCCCUCUCUCACUACUGCACUAGUCUAAA